AUGGAGGCCGGCGGUAGUAGUAGGAGGAGUGAGACUACCAGCAGGAAGAGGAAGUCAGCUGCACUCGAGGGCGAGGGCAGUCCGGCUCCGGCGCCGGCGGCGCCGGCAGCUCCCGAUCCCGGAGCGGCUGACCACGAUGGUUGUGGGGGCGGGCGAGAUCUCCACUUCAGCGACCUCCCCGACGACGUACUCCGCAAGAUUAUUUCGGUCCUCCCCAUGAAGCAACGCGGUCGCACGCAGAUCCUCGCGAAACGGUGGCUUCCCCUCUGGCGCUCUCUUCCUCUCAACAUCGACUGCGGUGAAAUCGCCCGUUCUAAUCAUGGUAAGCUCGGUGAUGUGUUACAACGCAUAAUUUCCUCCCACCAAGGCGACUGCCACCGCUUCUGCAUUCGCCCAUUCUUGGCCACGAACAUGGAGAACGAUGCUGCCGUGGACGCCUGUCUCCUGUCCCCCGCUCUGAAUAAACUCAAGGAGCUUGAGUUCUACCGUCGGCCGUGGGACAAUUGGCAGCGGGUGCCGGCACCAACAUCUAUCUUCCGUUUUUCGCCCACCCUCUGUGUCGCCCAAUUCGGGCAUUGCGCACUCACGGACGACAUCGUUCAAGGGCUUCACUUCCCGCAGCUUAAGAAGCUCGGUCUUGAUUAUGUCUUCCUCUCGGAGUUCUCACUCAGCAGCAUGAUUGCCGGCAGCCCUUCUCUCGAGGUCUUGCUAAUUAUUCGGUGCAGUGUAGCCCGUUGCCUCCGGAUCAAUUCAUUUACCCUUAGAAGCAUUGAAGUCGACAAUUCUUCACCAGAUCCAUCCAUGGAGGAGCUGAUCAUCGAGAGUGCCCCUCAUCUUGAAAGAUUAUUCCAUCUUGAUCAGAACGAGGAUUUGCAUGUAUCAGUGCUCUCGGCGCCUAAGUUCAUCAGGCUCGUGUUUGGUUCCACAGAUAUUCAUCAGGGACCGCGCAUUGCAAUUGUUAGCCUUUCAACAGCACUGUCCAGAAUCAAGUCUUUGCAAGUCUGUAUGCGUACUCUAUGUUUGGACAUGGUUAUUGAAUUGAUGAGUUGUUUUCCAUGCAUGGAGAAGUUGUACAUUCAGUGCGAGAAAUCUGGGACGAAGAAUUUGUGGCGUCGUAAACACCGGGACCUUCUUAGAUCUUUUGUCAUCCGUCUAAAAAAAUAG
rnacentral:rRNA from 1 species